rnacentral:rRNA from 1 species
AGUGAACGCUGGCGGCGUGCUUAACACAUGCAAGUCGAACGAGAACGGAUUAUAGCUUGCUAUAAUUGUCAGCUAAGUGGCGCACGGGUGAGUAAUGUAUAGGUAAUAUGCCUCUUACUAAGGGAUAACAAAUGGAAACGUUUGCUAAUACCUUAUACUCCUUAUUAACAGAAGUUAAUAAGGUAAAGAUUUAUUGGUAAGAGAUUAGCCUGUAUUGUAUCAGUUAGUUGGUGGGGUAAUGGCUUACCAAGACUAUGACACAUAACUGGUUUGAGAGGAUGAUCAGUCACACUGGAACUGAGACACGGUCCAGACUCCUACGGGAGGCAGCAGUGGGGAAUAUUGCACAAUGGACGAAAGUCUGAUGCAGCAGCGCCGCGUGGAGGAUGACACAUUUCGGUGCGUAAACUCCUUUUAUAUGAGAAGAUAAUGACGGUAUUAUAUGAAUAAGCACCGGUUAACUCCGUGCCAGCAGCCGCCGUAA